GCGUGUGUUUGUGUUGUGGAGCAGUGUAAAGAAGAUGGCCGGAGCUACGAAAGGCAGAUAUAUCUUGGCACAUUCAUCUUUAAAGAAGUUUUGAUUACUUUCGUGGGAGAAAUGCAAAGAUACUGCCACAAACUCGAGGAUGACGUCAUGAAGUGGACGGCAUCCACGCGCAGCGGCAGGCGGAGCUUCAGGAAUUCAAGCCGUUUUACUUCCGGCAAAAAGCUUCAGGAUCUUCAGCGACUUUCAACAAAAAUCCUUCAGAUGCAGGUCGCCGACCCCGGUCCUGAACGGAGGAUGUCACCACAGCCGCUGCAAAGCUUCAGUUUGAGGAGCAGCUCGGUCCAUGUUUGCAGCGCGUCACAUGAAAGUGUCUGAGUCAGAAAACCCACAGAGGUUCCUCCACUCCUCUGAGAAAAAUG
rnacentral:lncRNA from 1 species